ensembl:snoRNA
GCUGUCCUGGACCUGUCGGCACCACAGACAGUUGCUCUGCUGUGCCUGUGGCCUCGGGGCAAAGAGAAAGUGGCGAUUUCUACACUCAGUGCUCGGGAACCAGUGGGCAUUGAGAAUGGUUUAUGGCCUGACAUUA